CUGACAGCAGUAGCGUGCAGGAGACGGCCCUAUGGGUUGUAAACUGCUUUUAUACGAGAAUAAUUUGAUGCACGUGUGCGUUAUUGCAUGUAUCGUAUGAAUAAGGACCGGCUAAUUCCGUGCCAGCAGCCGCGGUAAUACGGAAGGUCCAGGCGUUAUCCGGAUUUAUUGGGUUUAAAGGGAGUGUAGGCGGUUUGUUAAGCGUGUUGUGAAAUUUAGGUGCUCAACAUUUAACUUGCAGCGCGAACUGUCAGACUUGAGUACACGCAACGUAUGCGGAAUUCAUGGUGUAGCGGUGAAAUGCUUAGAUAUCAUGAAGAACUCCGAUUGCGAAGGCAGCAUACGGGAGUGUAACUGACGCUUAAGCUCGAAGGUGCGGGUAUCGAACA
rnacentral:rRNA from 1 species